AUUGAACGCUGGCGGCAGGCCUAACACAUGCAAGUCGAGCGGAUGAAGGGAGCUUGCUCCUGGAUUCAGCGGCGGACGGGUGAGUAAUGCCUAGGAAUCUGCCUGGUAGUGGGGGAUAACGUCCGGAAACGGGCGCUAAUACCGCAUACGUCCUGAGGGAGAAAGUGGGGGAUCUUCGGACCUCACGCUAUCAGAUGAGCCUAGGUCGGAUUAGCUAGUUGGUGGGGUAAAGGCCUACCAAGGCGACGAUCCGUAACUGGUCUGAGAGGAUGAUCAGUCACACUGGAACUGAGACACGGUCCAGACUCCUACGGGAGGCAGCAGUGGGGAAUAUUGGACAAUGGGCGAAAGCCUGAUCCAGCCAUGCCGCGUGUGUGAAGAAGGGCUUCGGAUUGUAAAGCACUUUAAGUUGGGAGGAAGGGCAGUAAGUUAAUACCUUGCUGUUUUGACGUUACCAACAGAAUAAGCACCGGCUAACUUCGUGC
rnacentral:rRNA from 1 species